UUGUCUGAUGCAAUCAGUGUUCUACUUUUCUAUUAAAGAGCAUGAAUAUAUCUACAGCAUGCUACACAUAAUGAGAAGUUUUUUAGGGCUGCUGACUUUUUGGUUGAGGUUAUGUGGAAGCAUAUUUCUUCUGUGUUA